rnacentral:rRNA from 1 species
AUUGAACGCUAGCGGCAGGCUUUACACAUGCAAGUCGAACGAGUGGCGGACGGGUGAGUAAUGUCUGGGAAACUGCCCGAUAGAGGGGGAUAACUACUCGAAACGGUGGCUAAUACCGCAUACCAUCAGAUGUGCCCAUAUGGGAUUAGCUUGUUGGUGGGGUAACGGCUCACCAAGGCGACGAUCCCUAGCUGGUCUGAGAGGAUGACCAGCCACACUGGAACUGAGACACGGCCCAGACUCCGACGGGAGGCAGCAGUGGGGAAUAUUGCACAAUGGGGGAAAGCCUGAUGCAGCCAUGCCGCGUGUAUGAAGAAGGCCUUCGGGUUGUAAAGUACUUUCGGCGGGGAGGCGUUACCCGCAGAAGAAGCACCGGCUAACUACGUGCCAGCAGCCGCGGUAAUUC